rnacentral:rRNA from 1 species
GACGUAGGGCGCGAGCGUUGUCCGGAUUUAUUGGGCGUAAAGAGCUCGUAGGCGGCUUGUCGCGUCGACUGUGAAAUCCCGCGGCUCAACUGCGGGUCUGCAGUCGAUACGGGCAGGCUAGAGUUCGGUAGGGGAGACUGGAAUUCCUGGUGUAGCGGUGAAAUGCGCAGAUAUCAGGAGGAACACCGGUGGCGAAGGCGGGUCUCUGGGCCGAUACUGACGCUGAGGAACGAAAGCGUGGGGAGCGAACAGG